rnacentral:rRNA from 1 species
UACGUAGGUGGCAAGCGUUUGUCCGGAAUUAUUGGGCGUAAAGCGCGCGCAGGCGGUCCUUUAAGUCUGAUGUGAAAGCCCACGGCUCAACCGUGGAGGGUCAUUGGAAACUGGGGGACUUGAGUACAGAAGAGAAGAGUGGAAUUCCACGUGUAGCGGUGAAAUGCGUAGAGAUGUGGAGGAACACCAGUGGCGAAGGCGACUCUUUGGUCUGUAACUGACGCUGAGGCGCGAAAGCGUUGGGGAGCAAACAGG